UACAGAGGGUGCGAGCGUUAAUCGGAAUUACUGGGCGUAAAGGGCUCGUAGGUGGCCAACUAAGUCAGACGUGAAAUCCCUCAGCUUAACUGGGGAACUGCGUCUGAUACUGGAUGGCUUGAGUUUGGGAGAGGGACGCGGAAUUCCAGGUGUAGCGGUGAAAUGCGUAGAUAUCUGGAGGAACACCGGUGGCGAAGGCGGCGUCCUGGACCAACACUGACACUGAUGAGCGAAAGCCAGGGGAGCAAACGGG
rnacentral:rRNA from 1 species